rnacentral:rRNA from 1 species
CGAGCGCCCCGCAAGGGGAGCGGCAGACGGGUGAGUAACGCGUGGGAAUCUACCCAGCUCUACGGAAUAACCCAGGGAAACUUGGACUAAUACCGUAUACGUCCUCCGGGAGAAAGAUUUAUCGGAGUUGGAUGAGCCCGCGUUGGAUUAGCUAGUUGGUGGGGUAAUGGCCUACCAAGGCGACGAUCCAUAGCUGGUCUGAGAGGAUGAUCAGCCACAUUGGGACUGAGACACGGCCCAAACUCCUACGGGAGGCAGCAGUGGGGAAUAUUGGACAAUGGGCGAAAGCCUGAUCCAGCCAUGCCGCGUGAGUGAUGAAGGCCCUAGGGUUGUAAAGCUCUUUCAACGGUGAAAAUAAUGACGGUAACCGUAGAAGAAGCCCCGGCUAACUUCGUGCCAGCAGCCGCGGUAAUACGAAGGGGGCUAGCGUUGUUCGGAAUUACUGGGCGUAAAGCGCACGUAAGCGGAUAUUUAAGUCAGGGGUGAAAUCCCGGGGCUCAACCCCGGAACUGCCUUUGAUACUGGGUAUCUAGAGUCCGGAAGAGGUGAGUGGAAUUCCGAGUGUAGAGGUGAAAUUCGUAGAUAUUCGGAGGAACACCAGUGGCGAAGGCGGCUCACUGGUCCGGUACUGACGCUGAAGUGCGAAAGCGUGG